AAAUUUUUAAAAUUACCCUCAAGAUAUUAUCGCAACAGAUUGAUAAACAAAUAGUGAAAGGAAUAUAAAGACAAGAGAAGACUUUUCUGUAUAAACCUCUUGAUAUUAGUAUGCUGUUCUAGUCUGCCACAAAGAGAUAACAGAAUCCAAAAUAUCUAAGCAGUGUACAAGACAUUUGAAGUGUGCCCCACAGAGAGCAGAACGAGUUGCCAGGCUAAAGAAUAGAUCUUUAAAAUAAAAUAUUUUUUUUCAUUUUAAAAA